CUUAAAGAAAAUAGCUAUCACAAAGUCUAUGUACUUUAUUCUGUCAAACAAUGGCAGUUGUUUUUCAUCUGUCCUUUCAAUGAAAUCAUGUGGUGAUAUUUUGAUCACCUUCAGCAAUAAUCUAUUAACUUAGAAUUGUAUAUAAAAUCAGUUACAGUCUUGGAUUUGAAAAAGAUUUUAGAAUUCAUUUGGACCAAUCCCUGUUCAAGUCAUGAAUCCCAUCGAUAAUAUUUCUUGAGAGCUACAGCAUGAGAAAAGACCACCAGUAAUGGUAAAUUUACUCUUAAGACACCUUGUAUUAGGGUGACUGGUUUAACAAGAAGAAGCUAUAUGAUAUGGUGGAAAGAGGGUUUGCCCCAAAGUCAUGAGUCCUAAGUUCAAAUCCUGACUCAGUGUGAUAGAGGCUGGCACUAAAGAAAAAGUUCCAGAUUGAAGAGUAUGUGAAAUUGAUCAUCUUGAUGGGGGAGGGACCCCAGGAGUGAAUUUCCAGAGGAGAGAAGACUCUGAGGAGGAGAGCUGUGAGGGUCUCUGUCUUGAGACAUUGAAGAGAGAAGGUGGAUAAAGACUUUCUCCUGAGGGUUACCCACUUUUCCUGCUGGUGACUGGAAGUCUUUUCCCCCAACAUUUCCCAAUUGAAGGGACUUUCUGAAGAGAAACCUGAGCAGACUUUACCUCAGCUCCUGUUGCCCAGGGGUCACUACCUUUCUCUUCCAUGAUGGCCUGUAGUAACACCUCGUCACAGCUCCUGACCCCAUCUGUUCCAACCUAUUUUGGAUGUUCUUCAGUGAAACUGAAUUAUUUACUUCCUGAACACCUCCCUGGUACUCUGUGAGAACUAGCUGCUCCUAAUUGCUCCAUGGCCAACUGCCCAGAGAUUAGCACCCCUGCGUGUUCUCUGCCACAGAGCUCCAAACAGCCCUUCUUAAAAUGGCAACAUGAAAAGUCCCCAAAGGCUCAAGCAUCAGGGAAAAGGGUAACCUGCCCAAGAGAGACAUUGAUCCAACAUACAGCUUUGCUCCUGGGAAUGCUUGGGAUCAGUUUUUCUUGCUAUGGCACUUAUCAACUUGUCCAAGAGAAGAAAUCAACCUAAAAACUUAAAUUAUGUUGGAACAUGGCUCUAUAACUGUAAACACAGAGGAAAUAAAACUUUUUUUCUCAAAUUUUCCUUUUCUUUG
rnacentral:lncRNA from 1 species